UUAGAUGUAUUUCGGUUUGUCCAAAUUGUCUAUAUUCAAAUGAAAUUGACAAUGAUCAUACGUUACAAUCUUUCCAUUUAUGGCAAUUGUGGCCAAUUGGUCGAAUUAUAGAAGUCCAUUGCAUGUUUCACAUGGAGUGAUAAUAAAGUUUUGUUGAUUCCAUUGCGACUAGUGAAAAUUCGGGAAAAAUGAGCAGUGUCCAAACUUGACGACUCAGAGUAUCUAAAGCAAAAAUUGGAGGUGCAGUGAGAAAAUGUCAUAAGUUUUAGGUUCCAACUAUUAUUUUUUAAUAAAAUUUAGGACUGGCAUCCUACCUGACCCUUACAUGGAGUUUUCCCAAAAAAAAAAUGUCAAAAACUUUAUUGUUGUAAAGUGGAAGCAACCAUUAUGUGAAGACGUCGUAGGCAAAUGCCAGAUUGCAGCUAUCUUCCUCGAACAGAGGGGAGCUCUGAGGAAAAAGGGAGCAACUUAACCCACCUAGUCUUGCCUUUAGAAAGGAGGAAAGAUCGGAUACUGUGGCAGUUUAGAUAGUUAAAUAGGACUGGCAUCCUCUCUGACCCUUACAUGGAGUUUUUCCACAAAAAAAAAAAAGUAAAAAACUUCUUGUUGUAAAGUGGAAGCAACCUAUUAUGUGAAGACCUCGUAGGCGAAUGCCAGAUUGCAGCUAUCUUCCUGAAACUGCCUUUAGAAAGGAAUGCAGGAAAGAUCGGAUACCGUGGCAGUUUAGAUAGUUGAAUAGGAGUGGCAUCCUCCCUGACGCUUACAUGGAGUUUUCCCAAAAAAAAAAAAAGUCAAAAACUUUAUUGUUGUAAAGUGGAAGCAACCUAUUAUGUGAAGACCUCAUAGGCGAAUGCCAAAUUGCAGCUAUAUUCCUCAUAUGGAAAAAAAUCAAAAACUUUAUUGUUGUAAAGUGAAAGCAACCUAUUGUGUGAAGACCUCAUAGGCUAAUGCUAGAUGGCAAUUAUCUUCCUCAAACGGAGGGGGAGCUUAGAGGAAAAAGGGAGCAACUUAAUCCACCCAGUCCUGCCUUUGGAAAGGAAUGCAGGAAAAAUCAGAUACUGCAGCAGUUUAGAUAGUUGAAUAGGCCUGGCAUCCUCCCUGACACUUACACGGAGUUUUUCCAAAAAAAAAAAAAGUCAACUUUAUUGUUGUGAAGUGGAAGCAACUUAUUAUGUGAAGACCUCAUAGGCAAAUGCCAGAUUGCAGCUAUCUUCCUCAAACAGAGGGGGAGGUCAGAGGAAAAAGGGAGCGACUUAACCCACCCAGUCCUGCCUUUUAAAAGGAAUGCAGGAAAGAUCGGAUACUGUGGCAGUUUAGAUGGUUGAAUUCCAAAAAAAAAAAAAAAAAGUCAAACUUUAUUGUUGUGAAGCGGAAGCAACUUAUUAUGUGAAGUCCUCAUAGGCAAAUGCCAGAUUGCAGCUAUCUUCCUCAAACAGAGGGGGAGGUCAGAGGAAAAAGGGAGUGACUUUACCCACCCAGCCCUGCCUUUCAGGAAAGAUCGGAUACUGUGGCAGUUUAGAUAGUUGAAUUCCAAAAAAAAAAAAAGAAGUCAAACUUUAUUGUUGUGAAGUGGAAGCAACCUAUUAUGUGAAGACCUCAUAGGCAAAUGCAGAUUGAAGUGGAAGCAACCUAUUAUGUCAAACUUUAUUGUUGCAGUAGUUUAGAUAGUUGAAUAGGAUGCCGUCCCCCAAGAGGCUGGUGCCACGGAGUCUGCCAUCGCUUCAAAGGAUACUACUACUAAAUAAGAUGAUGUUGGCCAACCUCCUUAGCCGAAUCAGUCUCUGUUGCUUAAUUUACAGACUCCAUGUACUCACUUGAAAUGAAGCCAAACAAACUUCUGGAAUUGUCAAUUUCAUUUUCAGGUUGAAUAUCUUCUCAAGUUUCCAUCCCCAUUAAUUUUGCCACGGGUUGAGAUCAGGAAGAACAUAGAGCAUUACAACGUGGAUAGUGGAAGAAUUCUGAAAACUUUAUACCGGUAAACUUCUGGUCCUUUAUUUUAUAGAAAAAGCAUGUUUGCUCUUGUUAGCUAUAGUUUUUAAGUUUUUAUCCUUCCUUAAUUCAAGUAUUGUUAAUUAUGUUCUUAACCAUCCGUCAGCUCGUCAAAUUUUGGCAAUGAAGAUUUGUUAAGGUUGGCAGUCAGAGAUUUUAAUCACUGCCAACUCAUUCACCGCAAUGAACUGGAAGAAAUAGAAAGGUAUGUGGAAGAUUUGAACAUAUUAGCACUAUUUUGCCUUGCUUUUAUCAUGGUGAAUUAAUUUGUGAGUGAUUCUAGUGAAUGAUUGCACACCAAAACAAAUGAGUGAAUUGAAAAAUGUACACUGGUCGGGAAAAGUGAUGCAAUUUGAAAAUUUUGAACCAUGAACCACCAUGAUUAAAAAACUUUGUGAUGGACAAAUUUUUCAAAUAAAAUUCUUAUGUAUAAUGUGCUCAAAAUUUCUACCUUUCUAUACGUGUUCUUUGGACACUUUAGUUAAUUGCUUGAUCAACCACAUAGCGAUUCAAUAUGAAUUUAUUGACCACUUAUUGAUCCUAUGUUUGUACCCCAGUACGUCCUUAGAAUUGUUAAAAUGUUAUACAAUGACCAAAUCAUGAAUAUCAGAUUAAAGAUUACAAAAAUUUGCCUGCUAGGGCAGUUUGAACUUUGAUAAUUCUUGGCAAAUUUUUCCUGGUGAAUUUGGAUAAAAAAAUCGGGGUACAUAUCAACGCGAGUAUGGGUAAAAAGUUAAUUCUACCCUUAUCGGAAAUUAAACAAAAAGUUCACCAUUUGCCAAGAAAAAGAGAGAGAGUGAAAUAGAGUUGGCAAAUUUGUGCGGUCCAGAAUUAGAAAAAAGAGAGAUAUCAAAAGAAAUAGGGGUACAUAUCAAUGCCGAGUAUGGGUAAAAAGAGAGAGAUCAAAAGAAAUAAUUUGUGCGGUCCAGAAUUAGAAAAAAAAAAUAGAGUUUGUAUACCAAAUUUUGUAAAAAAUGUACAAUGAUAGCGUCAAUUACAUCAAAAGCAAACUGUACCUAUCCCAAUUUCCUCAAUAUAAGCGUACAGACAAGUUCAAUCAUGUCAUAUACAUGUCUAUAAUUAAUUGCAUACACAUGAAAUUCCAUUUGUUAUAUAAAUGAAUUGGUUGUAUUCAAAUCCAUUUUACUUCUCUUUCUCCACAGGUGGUAUACGCAGAAUAGAUUGCACGAACUGAAGUUUACAAGACACAAGGCUAUAUAUGGCUUCUUUUCUGCUGCAGCAACCAUAUUCUCACCUGAACUAUAUGAAGCCCGCAUGUCAUGGGCCAAAAAUUGUGUACUGACUACAGUGACUGAUGACUUCUUUGACGUGGGAGGUUCUGAGGAGGAACUAAGAAACCUUAUUGAUUUACUUGAACGGUGAGUCUCCCUGAUCCUCUUCUCACUAUUCUGAAAUCUGAACAUUCUUAGCCCCUAUACUAUGUAUAUAAUUUCCUAAGUAAUAAGAUAAUGUCUGCAAACUACAGGUGGGAUGUGAAUAUCAGCAGUGAUUGUUGCUCAGAUAUCAGCAGUGAUUGUUGCUCAGAGAAUGUCCAAAUCGUAUUUUCAGCACUGCGUAGUACCAUCUCUGAGACUGGAGAGAAAGCAAGCAAAUUGCAGGGACGCAAUGUAACAAGCCACACGAAAGAGAUUGUGAGAUGUCUACUUCUUUCAUCUUCUUGCUUCUUGCUAUUGUACUCUGAUGUAUGCGUAUGGGUCAUCCAGUUUGCUCUCUAUAAUAUAUGAUGACGAUUCUUUAAAUGGUUUAUUACAGUGGCUAGAAUUGCUCUACGGAUUUUUUAGGGAGUUUGAAUGGACUAGAGACAAGACGGUGCCAACAUUGGAUGAAUAUAUGGCAAAUGCUUAUGUAUCAUUCGCCCUGGGGCCGAUAAUGUUCCCUGCCAUUUAUCUUCGGGGGCCAAAGCUAUCAGAAGAAGUUGCUCGACAUCCUGAAAUGCGGUCCCUUUAUAAGCAUGUUAGCAAUUGUGGUCGGCUUCUUAAUGAUAUGCGCGGCUUUGAGGUAUAUAAGAUAUUUCUUCAUUGAUUUUUGCCGUGGAUUUUAUUACGUUCUUAUUAAUCGUGUUUUAUCUGCCAUCCUUCAAUUUUGAACCGAUUCUUAUUGAUAAUAUCUAUCACGCAGAGGGAAAGAAAGGAAGGUAAACUAAAUUCUUUGACUCUACGAUUGAGUCCAGAUGGUACGGUUAGUGAAGCAGCUGCAAUUGCAGAGGUGAAAUUGCUGAUAGAAAAUGAAAGGAGGAGACUGCUAAGAUUGGUUUUGCAGAAGGAUGGUAGUGUAGUUCCAAGAGCUUGCAAGGACAUGUUUUGGAAUCUAAGCAGAAUACUACAUCAAUUUUACUUCAACAAUGAUGGAUUUACAUCAGAAGUGGAGAUGGUUGAUCUCGUAAAGGCAAUUAUUCAUAAGCCAAUACCUUUGGAGGAUUUUGAAUAGCUUCGCUGAGGAUCAAACGAGUCCGGUUAUGGGAGGAGGUUAUGAUUGUUAGACACACACAAAUGGAGAUCCGAAUAACUGGGAUUUGAAAUUUGCCGUCUCGUGUACAGGUUUUUCAAUGUAGCUUCUCCAAAUAAUUAGGGCCAAGCUGCGUGUAUCCCUGGACUAUAGUGGGCUCGACACAGCUUGGGUUUAAACGUUGGACCAACAUUAAUCUUUAAUAAAGUUCAAUUCGAUUAAAGCCCAAUCUAGAUAAUUAUAUAUGUUGGUAUGCUAUGAUACGAUAUUUAUAUAUAUAUAUAUAUAUAUAUGUAUCAUUGAUAUAGUAUGUAUAUCAUAUAUUCAAAUUAAUGGUUUGUCUAAUAUAGGGUACUUGUUAAAAUAUAUUUCAAGUGUUAUAUUUUUGAAAAUAUAAGAUUAAUUUAAUUAGAAAAAUUAAAUAAAUACAAGGAAGGUAGGCAAAAUUAAAUAUAGAAAAUAUAUAAAUGUAAGAGAGGAUAAUAAUUAUUAGUAUGCUUCUAUAUAUGAUAGAUUAGGUGAAUAUUAAAUAUGUUAAUAAAUGCCUUAAGAGUACCUAUUAGAAAAAUUUUUAAAUUAAUUAUAUGUCUUAUUAUAUAUGCUAUUUAUAAGUCAUAUUUAAAUGUAUAAUAUUACAUAUUAGUCUCUCUAUCCUACUCUUAUUGUAAUAGUUUUCCCUUUUAACUAUUUCAAAAUUUGAAUUCGGCUACAAUUGUUCUGCUGACAUUCCUGUCUUACCCUUGAGAAGAGAUCAUGUAGAAUAGUUAAAAAUAUUUUAUUGGUCCAAUAAAAGUGCUUUUAUUGAGAGAAAAGAUUAAGGGGGCGCUUGGUUCUUGCUUUGGAAUUGGAAAUAGAAUAAUUCCUAGAGCGUUCACUAAUGAGGGUUUUGGUCAAUUCCUCCCAAUUUGGUCGGGAAUCAUGAAUGGCUAAAGUAUUUGUGUUUGCACAAUCCUCCAAUGAAGUAUGGAUAAUGUGACUAAGCCCCCUUUUAAAGUAGUUGUGUGAUUAGCUUGGAAAAACUAUUUUAGUGCUUACAAAUAACGUUUGAUUUUCAGAUAUUCUCAGAACUAGUAAUAGAAAAUGGGGGUGGUUGAGGAUAAAUAUUUUGUUUGGUUAUAUCAUACUCUGAGAAUUCCAUAACAAUUUGAAGUACAUAUGAUUGCAUAUAAAAGAAAUUGUAAUUGUAAUCCCAAAUUUGUUUUGGAUAACAUUAUUUUUGCAAUAAAUAUAUUUUUAGAUAAAAAUAAAGUAAGUAUGAAAAAAAAAAGAAUAACAUACAAAUGGAAUGGUAAGCAAAAUAGCUGAAUAACUGUUUUGUUAGGUUGGAGUGUGAUUGGUUAGUGAAUCCCAUACAAUUUGUAUGGUGGUUCUACUGGAUGUGAAAAGGCAUAAGAAGUGUUGGGCGUGUGCGUAGCGUUACAAUGGAAACGAAUCGCUGAAUCGGGGCCAUUUUUUUUUUGUUAUGAAACAUAAUAAAUAAAAGUUUCUUCUUAUUUUAGUAAUGGUAAUAAAUAAUAAAUGUAACCAUAUAUAAAGUAUGGAAUUAAUAAAUUGAAAUUUACUAUAAAUAAGGAAGCAUAGAAUAAUAGGAAAAAAUGAAAGUUUUUCCAAAUUUUAGUAAUGGUAAUAAAUUAUCAAUCCAAUAAUAGGAAUAGAGAGUGUGAAUAUAGAGAAUUAAACUUGAAAAACUAAUUGACAAAAAAAUUAAGGCAUAAAUUAUAAAAAUGUAUAUACAAUAGGUAAUUUAUAGAAUUUUGAAAUUUACUAUAAAUACAGGAGUAAAAAGGGACUGUGAUUUAUUAUUAUGUAAAAUAAAUAAAUAAAUAAUAAAAUCUGCCAAGAAACAUAAGCAAACACAAUUUUUUCCAUAUGGCAAAAAGAUAAAAUUGUCAUUUGACAAAAUACAACUAAUUUACCAACUUGCUAAAAUGAAAAGUGAAUAGCGAAUUAAUAUAUUUAUAUAUUAAUAAAAAUAUAUAUAUACACACAUGCACACAUAUGUGUGUGUAUGUAUUUAUGUAUGUAAGUCAUGAAUCUUCUAAAGAUGAAGGUGUACGUAAAAACUAUCUACGUGAAUGAGUGUUAACGUGGCAUACUUUAACCAAAUUUUAGUAAUAAAAAUAAAUACUCAAACCAAUAUUAUGAAUAAGGGAUAAUAUCAUAAACCUCUCCUGAAGUUCUCUUAAUAUCACCUGGCACCCCUAAGGUUUUAAAAAUAUCAUUUAUCUCUCUUACUUUUGUUAUUUGUGUAGUAAAAUUUUGAAAAUCCUAAACUACCCUUCUACUUGCUAAAUAAAUAUAAUCCUAAACCACUUUAUUUACUUCAACAAAACCAUCACCUGAAAAACAAUCUCUAGUAGUAUUACCACAUCAUAAUGCUAUAGUCCAUAAAAAUAUGAUUUUAAAAAAUAAAAAAAUAUUUGCUGUGAGACCCCGUAAAUUUUCUCAUUUUUUAGGUUUUAUUCUAUUUAAUGGCAUGCUUUUCUAUAUUUUUUAUUAGGAAAAUUUUCUAGAUAGAUUUUAUGAGUAAAUAUAGUUUUUAGAUGAUUUUUCUAGUAUCGUUAGUUUUUGAGAAAUUAAGAACGUAUACCAGACGUGGGACCCGCUAGUGCGAAAAAUUCGGUAAAAUUCGGCCAGUUAGGUUAAGUGUUGGAUACCGAGUUUAUUUUAUCUGGUGUUAAGAGAUAAUUAGAGGUUCCUAAGUGGAUUGGUGUAAGAGGAACAAAGGAUAACCAUGUAUUAAUUGAAGUGACAAGUGUCACUUGGUGACUAGCCCUUGGACUUUGACCACACUAUUCACUACUUUACCAAUUUAAUCAAAAAUUAAUACAUGGGGUGCAAUCAACUUCAUCCGAAAUUAAGCAAAAGUAAUGCCCUCUUAAAGAAAUUUACAUUUCGCAAGCCCUUACCAAAAGUGUCCUUGAAGUUCCAUGGAAAUUAGAUUUUCAGCUACACAUGGUGCUAUAUUGGAGUUAAAUUGGCUAGGCAAGUUGAUGGUCUAGAUAUUGAAUGCUGAAAACAUUACAACUACUUAUGAAUUUAGGUGUAAUUAAUUGCAUACACAUGAAAUUCCAUUUGUUCUAUGAAUCAUUUGGUUGUAUUCAAAUCUAUUUUACUUGUCUCUUUCUCCACAGGUGGUAUGCAUGGAAUAGAUUGCACAAACUGAACUUUGCAAGACAGAAGGCUAUGUCUUGCUUCUUUUCUCUGCUGCAGCAAAUAUUUUCUUACCAGAACCACAUGAAGCCCGUAUGUCAUGGGCCAAAAAUAGCGUACUGACUACGGUGGAUGACAUCUUUGACGUAGGAGGUUCCGAGGAGGAGCUAAACAAACUAAUUGAUUUAGUUGAAAAGUCUCCUUGAUCAUCUUCUCACUAUUCUGAAAUCUGAACGUUCUUAGCCCCUGUAUAAAUAAUUUCCUAAGUAAUAAUAUAAGAUCCGUAAACUACAGGUGGGAUAUGAAUUUCAGCAGAGAUUGUUGCUCAGAGCCUGUCCAAAUUUUAUUUUCACCAUUACAUAAUGCCAUGCCUGAGAUUGGAGAGAAAGCAAGCAAACGCCAAACGGCAGGCCGCAGUGUAACAAGCCACACGAUUGAGAAUGUGAGAUGUCUACUCCCUUCAUCUUCUUGAUUCUUGUACUUGUACUAUGCGUAUGGAUCAUCCAAUUGGCGCUCUGUAUAAUAUACGAUGACAAUUAAUCUUUUAAAUGGUUUGUUGCAUACUACGGUUCAAAGACUCGGUCGAGCUGUCAUCGGAACAAGGCUUUCCGUUCUGAUAUUAGGACGAGAUGAUUCUGAGGUAAUAGAUUGCCGAGAACUCAGUCUAGUCACCAAAAACUUGGCCGAGACGUUUCCGAGACGGAUGAAAACGGCCAAAUUGUCCUGUAUCAUUUCGAGUCAAUUUAAAAUUUUAUUAUUUUUGCUAAAUUUUUGUUAUUUUUGUUUAUCAUUUUUUUUACAAUUUUUAGAAUAUUAAAUGUUUCAAAAAUUUACAUUUCACCGAGACCGACGACGACCAAUUUGUCGAGACCGAUGUGAAACGGUUCAAACCACAACUGCGACCGCAGCUUUGAACCAUGGUUGCAGUGGCUAGAGAUGCUCUACAUGAUGUUAAGGGAGUUUGAAUGGAAUAGAGAUAUGAAGGUCCCAACAUUGGAUGAAUACAUGACAAAUGCUUAUGUAUCAUUCGGCCUAGGGCCGAUUAUCUUCCUUACCAUUUAUCUUCUGAGGAGAGGUUGUUCGCCAUCCUGAAAUGCAGUUCCUUUUUAAGCUCGUUUGCACUUGUGGUCGGCUUCUCAAUGAUAUGCGCAGCUUUGAGGUAGAAAUUUCUCCAUUGAUGUUUGCCAUUGAUGGUUUUUUUUUAAAAUUUUAUUGGUUAGGUUCUUAUUGAUUGUGUUUAUCUGCCAUCCUUUAAUAAUUGUGAACUAAUUUUUAUUGAUAUGAUCACAAUCAUAGAGGGAAAGAAACGUUGGUAAACCAAAUUCUGUCACUACGCCUAAGCCAAGAUAGUGCUUUUUGUUACUGAAGCAGCUGCAAUGGCAGUGGUGAAGUUGCUGCUAGAAAAUGAAAGGAGAAGAUUGUUGGAAAAAUGGCUAUAUCCUGUUGGAAAAAUGGCUAUAUCCAUUGUAGAGUGAAUGAGAAAAUUGUUCUCAUAAUUGCACUCUUGAAAGAAUCCAAGUAUAAUUAUCUAUCAUUCAUUCAUGUACAUAGGAUUCAUGUAUAUUAAUUAUUGAUACAUGAUUUUGGAUAGGAUUCAUGUACUUAAUACAUGAUUUUGGAGUUAUCUUAUUGAAAUACAUGAAUGUACAUGAAUGUGGUACUUUGAUAAACGUGAAGAUAAUUAUCUGAAAUUUAACACUUGUUGUCAAUUUCUAACAGUCACCCUUGACCAGCAUCUAUAAAUAUCUCUUUUUUGUUUUAAAAGAAAAAAAAUGCUCUCUCUAUUUUUCCUUCUUGCAUAUUCAUCUUUUAUAGUGUUCCAUAUUGCUUUAGUUCGAGUUUGCUGUGGUGAAAAAAGUUUGGUGCUGACAUAUUCAUCUUUAAUCUGUUGUAUCUUGGAGACACACGCCUACUUAACCUCGAGCACUCUACCUAGAGGGGGCGAAUCUGUUUUAAGGAAAUUGUGCUCACAAGUCUCGGAUUUUAUUAUUGUUAUUUUCGAUCAUUUCUUUUUUUCUAGAUUGUAUUUAUUCUUCUCUAUAGGGUAUCAACCUAUUUUUAUUAUUUAACUAACAGUCUUAAAAUAGAUUUGUUCUCCAUGACUGACUUUCUAGGAAGAAAAACCAACAAAUCUACUGUUGAUGCCUCUGCCUCUGGCACAAUUGUGAAACAACCUGAAGGAAAGAUUACUCCUAUGGUUUCUACCAACCAUAGUGAGAAACCUGAGAAGUUCCAUGGCUCGAACUUCAAGACAUGGCAACAAAAGAUGUUGUUCUAUUUGACAACAUUGAAUCUCUCGAGAUUCUUAAGUGAGGAUGCUCCAAAGCUGCCUGAAGGCUUAACUGAUGCACAAGCUGUCAGUGCUAUUGAUGCUUGGAAGCACUCCGAUUUCCUUUGUCGAAAUUAUGUCAUGAACCUGACUGCUAUGGUUUCUGAAGUAAAUAUGAUAGGGUCAAAUCUGAAAGAAUAGUGGAUUGACACUGGAGCCACAAGACAUGUUUGCACAAACAAAGGCCUGUUCACUACCUUCGAAAAAAUUGAAGGUGAAAAAUGUUCAUGGGGAACUCUGCCUCAUCUGCUAUUGAAGGUCAAGGGAAGGUGUUGCUAAAGAUGAUUUCUGGCAAAACAUUGACUUUGAACGAUGUUCUGUAUGUGCCAGAAAUUCGAAGAACCUUGUUUCUGGAUCGUUGCUGAACAAGCAUGGCUUUCGCAUGAUUUUUGAAUUGGAUAAAGUUAUAUUAUCCAAAUCUGGAUGUAUGUAGGGAAAGGAUAUACAAACGAUGGGUUGUUCAAAUUGAAUGUAAUGACUAUUGUGAAUAAUAAGAAUAAGUCUUCUGCUUAUUUGCUUGAGUCUUCCAAUUUAUGGCAUGGUAGACUAGGUCAUGUUAAUUAUGAUACUUUGCGUAGACUAAUUAACUUAGAUCAUAUUCCUUCCUUUCACAUCAAUUCAAACCAUAAAUGCGAGAUUUGCGUAGAAGCAAAAUUAACAAGGUCAUCUUUUCAAACAAUUGAAACACCGACCCCUUGAAUUGAUUCACACAGAUAUCUGUCAUUUGAAAUUUGUUCAAACAAGAGGUGGUAAUAAAUAUUUUAUCACUUUCAUUGAUGAUUGCACAAAAUACUGUUAUGUGUAUUUGCUCAAAAGUAAAGAUGAAGCCUUGGAAAAAUUCAUUCUCUACAAGAAUGAAGUUGAAAAUCAACUUAAUCGAAGAAUUAAAAGGUUAAGAAGUGAUAGAGGUGGUGAAUAUGAAACAUCUAUUGGUGAUUAUUGUGCAAAAUAUGGAAUUGUUCAGGAAGUAACUGCACCUUACUCACCUCAAUCAAAUGGUGUUGCUAAACGAAAAAAUCGCACAUUAAAGGAAAUGAUGAAUGCGGUGUUAAUAAGUUCAGGAUUACUUCAAAAUAUGUGAGGUGAAGCUAUUUUGUCAAGCAAUUACCUUUUAAAUAGGGUACCCCGAAAAAAACAAAAUAAAACUCCUUAUGAGUUAUGGAAAGGUAGGAGACCAUCCUACAAAUACUUGAAAGUGUGGGGGUGUCUUGCAAAAGUGGCUAUUCCAGCACCAAAGAGAAUAAAGAUAGGUCCUAGAACUGUGGACUGUAUCUUUAUAGGCUAUGUACAUAAUAGUGCUGCUUAUCGAUUUCCUGUGUAUAAUUCAGAAAUUUCGAAUAUACACAAAAAUACGAUAAUGGAAUCAAGGAAUGCUUCAUUUUUGAAGAUGUGUUUCCUUGUAAAUCGAAGGGUGCAUCAAGUUCAUCAAAACAAACACAUGAAGGAAUGCUUCAUUCUUUGAAGAUGUGUUUCCUUGUAAAUCGAAUGGUGCAUCAAGUUCAUCAAAACGAACACAUGAAGUUAUGAAUCAAGAAAAACAUGAUCAUGACUUGAUUCAACAAGAUGAACCGAGACGUAGCAAAAUAGAGUGAAAAAAUCAUUUGGAGAUCAUUUCACAACUUUUCUAUUAGAAAAGGAACCACAAACCUAUACAGAAGCUGUAAGUUCUUCUGAAGGAUUUUUGUGGAAAGAAGCAAUGAAAAGUGAGGUUGAUUCUAUUUUAUAGAAUCAUACAUGGGAGUUAGUGGAUCUUCCUCCUGGUUGUAGACCUUUAGGGUCCAAAUGGAUCUUUAAAGGAAAAUGAAAUCUGAUGGCUCUGUCGAUAAGUACAAAGCCAGACUUGUAAUCAAAGGAUACAAGCAACAAAGAAGGUUUGGAUUAUUUUGAUACUUAUUCUCCUGUUACGAGAAUAAAUUUUAUUAGAAUGUUGCUAUCACUGCAUUGAGAAAUCUAGAGAUACAUCAAAUGGAUGUAAAGACAGCUUUCUUAAAUGGUGAUUUAGAUGAAGAAAUCUACAUGGAGCAACCUGAGGGUUUCAUAACUCUGGGAAAAGGAAAUAAAGUUUAUAAAUUAGUAAAAUCAUUGUAUGGACUAAAAUAAGCGCCAAAGAAAUGGCAUGAAAAGUUCGACAAUGCAAUGAUAACUAAGAUACAAAAUAAAUGAGUGUGACCAAUAUGUCUACACUAAAGAAACAGAACAUGGCUAUGUCAUCUUAUGUCUUUAUGUAGAUGACAUACUUAUUGUUGGUAGUAAUGACAAAUGGUUAAGUCUACAAGGACAUGUUGAAUUCAAAAUUUGACAUGAAAGAUAUGGGGCUUGCUGAUGUAAUUUUACGAGUUACAAUUACAAGAAUACCAGACGGCUUGGUCUUGAGCCAGAAACUCAUUAUGUGGACAAGAUUCUGGAAAAAUUCAAUAAGGAUGAUUCUGGAAUUGCAAGAACUCCAUUAGACAAUAGUUUCCCAUCUAUCUAAGAAUAGAGGAAAGAGUAUUUCUCAAGUAGAAUACUCAAGAAUCAUUGGCAGUCUAAUGUAUUUAAUGAGUUGUACUAGACUUGACAUUGUAUAUGCAGUGAGCAAAUUGAGCAAAUUUACAAGCAAUCCGAGUGCUGAUCAUUGGAAAGCAAUUUCAAGGGUACUUAAAUACCUACGGUACACUCGGAACUAUGGACUGCAUUACACUAGAUACCCUGCUGUUUUAGAAGGGUAUGCUGAUGCAAAUUGGAUAUCUGAUAUAAAAGAUUCAAAAUCCACAAGUGGAUAUGUGUUCACACUUGCAGUUGGGCAGUAUCUUGAAAGUCUUCUAAACAAACUAUUGUAACUAGAUCUACAAUGGAAUCUGAGUUCAUUACCUUGGACAAAUGUGGAGAAGAAGCUGAAUGGCUACACCAUUUUCUUGAAGACAUUCCAAAAUGGAAAAAACCUGUGCCACCAAUAUGCAUUCACUAUGAUAGUCAAUCAGCAAUUGGAAGAGCACAGAAUAACAUAUAUAAUGGUAAGUCUAGACAUAUACGUCGUAGGCAUAAUACCAUUAGACAACUACUCUCAACAGGAGUUAUCUCUAUUGAUUAUGUGAAAUCAAAGGAUAACAUAGCGGAUCCGCUAACCAAAGGAUUGAAUAGAGAGUUGGUUGCAAAAAUGGCAAAGGGAAUGGGACUAAAACCCAUGGAAGGCUAAGUGUUAUAAAGGAAACCCAACCUAGCUGACUGGAAAUCCCAAUAUCUAGGUUCAAAGGGACAACCUAAUUAUAAGGACUUAGCAUAGUUAUUGUGGGAGGAUAUCCCUAGACCCAUUCCAUAAUGAAACAUUGACGCAAAGGAGAAUUAAAGAUAGCACAAUGGUGUGCUUUAAUGAUUCUUAAGUGAAGUAAUUAAUUAUUGGAGACUUAAGUAAAUCACCUAUGUGAGAGUGAAAUGGAGCCGCUUCAAAAGAGAAUUGUUUAGGGCUCAAUUCUUAAAAAACUCUUGCUGAAUCAGGUUGAUGUUCAUGGCCAAAACGAACAUAACUAUGAGAACUAAACUAAUGGAGCCAUUUUUUCAACAAUCCCCACAUGAAUGGAAAAAUUGUUUUGAUUUGACUCUACAGUAGUGUUCCACGACUGAAACCUGCAUAAGAUAGGUUGGUGUUACCCGUUGAACCUUCUCUUGUGAAAUACACUUACUUUACUAGCAAUCCAGUAGACAUGAUGUCUUUGAACUGUCCUGUUUUUAAUGUAAAUGAACCAUAUCCUGUUGAAAAAAUGGCUAUAUCCAUUGUAGAGUGAAUGAGAAAAUUGUUCUCAUAAUGGCACUCUUGAAAGAAUUCAAGGAUAAUUAUCUAUCAUUCAUUCAUAUACAUAGGAUUCAUGUAUAUUAAUUAUUGAUACAUGAUUUUGGAUAGGAUUCAUGUAUAUUAAUUAUUGAUACAUGAUUUUGGAUAGGAUUCAUGUACUUAAUACAUGAUUUUGGAGUUAUCUUAUUGUUAUCUUAUUGAGAUACAUGUAUGUACAUGAAUGUGGUACUUUGAUAAACGUGAAGAUUAUUAUCUGAAAUUUAACACUUGUUGCCAAUUUUUAACAGUCACCCUUGCCCAGCAUCUAUAAAUAUCUCUCUUUUGUUUCAAAAGAAAAAAGGCUCUCUCUAUUUUUCCUUCUUGCAUCUUCAUCUUUUAUAGUGUUCCAUAUUGCUCUAGUUCGAGUUCGCUGUGGUGAAGAAAGUUUAGUGCUGACAUAUUCACCUUUAAUCCGUUGUAUCUGAGAGACAGACGCCUACUUAACCUCGAGCACUCUACCUGGAGGGGCGAAUCUGUUUUAAGGAAAUUGUGCUCACAAGUCUCGGAUUGUUAUUAUUGUUAUUUUCGAUCAUUUCUUUUUUUUUUAGGUUGUAUUUAUUCUUCUCUAUAGUGUAUCAGCCUAUUUUUAUUAUUUAACUAACAAAGAUUGCUAAGAGUGGUUCUGCAACAAGAUAGUAGUAUAGUUCCAAGGAAAUGUUUUCAAAGUCUAAGCAGAACACUAAAUCAUUUUUACGUAUAUAAUGAAAUAUGAAGGAUUUUAAAUGGAGCCGGGUGGCUCCAGUAAACUGGGGCCGAGCCUUGUAUUAUUGGGCACAAUAGAUUUUAAAUAUUAGGUCAGAUUCAACUAUCAGUCGGGCCUAGUCAUACUUUUCCUCAACGUGAUUAAAGCCCGAUCUAGAAAAUUAUAUUAUUAUAGUAUGUUGAUGCGAUAGGUAGAUACUGUGACAGCCCCACCUUCCCCUAAGGCAAACCAAAAGAGUUAGCGGAUUGCCUGCCCAACUCUCGCCAGGACUAACGGUGCAGUUUAGAGCGAUCUAUUGCGUUCCGGAACUUAUAACGCGCGUAAACAAGUCAAAAUGACAAAAUAACCCAAAAUACAAAAAAAUGAAAUCCGGAGUCGACCAUGAAUAGUAACCGACCCGUCAGAACCCAAUCAAACAUCAAAAUACAUAUACAACAUAACAUUUAGUAUUUACAAGCCAAAAUGGCAUACAAAAGUGAUACAAAAGUUACUACAUGUAUGGUUUGCCAAAAUCAAAGUGAAACGACUCUAAAGGUACAUUUAGGGUUUCGAUUCAUAAGCUACACAAAAGAGACAUUCAUUUAGCUCAUUCGGCAACCAACUAGCAAGAAUCAUUCCAAAAGUAGUCAUAUGCCUGUAAGGAAAACAAAAGGAACGGUGUGAGCUAAUUGCCCAGUGAGAUACUACCACUUAAGCAACCAAGUUCAUGUACUCAUACAGCUUUUCAUUUCAAUUCGCCAAAAGUAAAUAAAGGCACACAUUAAUGGUGGUGAUAAAAGGAUACGGGUGGCUCUCAAGAGCCCUUUUCCCUCGUUUGCAUUUCUUGAUCGGACGUCAUUGACUCUCCGUCAAUGUUCAAAAGUAACCAACCGUAGACUCUAUUUUACUUCCAUUCCUUCCACCUAACAUUCCCCUACCGGCCCGAAAUCCAAACACUUGCAUUGUGGUAUUACUCGAGUAAACCGGAAUCGAGAGUCUCUCAUACUACAAGAUUCCAUAUAACAUUUCCCCAAGGAACAUCAAUUUACACGACCAAGUCCUCGCCGGCUCGAUUCAAUCAAUUAUCAAUGGGGUUGAGUUCGAGGAUAACAAUUGUAGUCGUUGGAUACUCGUCCAAACGACACCAAGUCAUGUAUUUUUAUUUCAUGUAACAUUUCAUAUAACAUUUCAAGAACAUGAUAAACAAUAAGUGAGAGUGAUAAAGUAUGCUCUCACUUCAAUCAAUUAACAUUCAACGUAUCAAUUUCAAAUAUCAAAGCCAUAUAGUAACACACAAGUGAGUAGUACACUCAUCAAGCUUGCAAAUGGUGUUUCAUGCACUUCCGUCAAAAGAACGUCGUGAACCACCGUCACGCCCUAAAACAUACAAACAAGUACAAUGAGACUCGAUAACGAGUCCUAAACCAAUGCCAAAUACGACCACAAUAGGGUUCCAUAAGCAUAUACAAGCAUUAGAGGAAACCAGAAAAUCCGGAAAUGCAAUUAGCUUUGCCCUGAAAAAAACAGUUUUUGAUCUCAUUUUGCGGUAAUGGCACCAAAGGCACUACGAUUAUUGGAUGACGGUGCAAGACCCACCGUUUUGAAACUAAGAAACAGGGCUACAAUAUUACAGAAGGUCACUCAGCCCAGUUCUGAGUGCAAACAGGUCAAAAACGCAAGAUACUACACUAGAACCGCAAAAACAGAUUCACAAACCACAUUCUGCUGGAAAUAGCAUAACUCAGCCUAAUUAAGUCCAAAUCCAGAAAUUCCAAAGCCAUCCAAAAGCUUAGAAACAGGGCUACAUUUCAUCAGAAGACCUCAACAACAAAUUCCGAAGCAAUGCCAAUCAAAACACCCAAUUACAGGCGCAAUUCUUACAUUCGGGUAAAACCAGGGCAGAAUGUUCCCAAUAAAACCCUAACUUUCUAAAAUUUCUUCCAAACCAGAAAUUGGUUGCAAUUAAUCACUUUUUCCACCUUCUAGAGUCAUUAAACAUCAUUUCCAAUCAUCAUAGAUAGCCACACAAUCAUGUUCAUAUUAAAAUAGAAAAAUCACCAAUAAAUAUAAAACUUCACUAAUUCAACCACAAAUCAAGAUGUAAUCCAUAAUAUUGCAUCUUAUACCACCACUAAUCAUGAUUUAAGCAUCAUUAGAGGAAGGAGAGCGGUUCUUCACAACUCACCUUAGAAACAAGAGAGAGAGAGAGCAAUUGGUCCUCUUAGCUUUCCAAAUAACUCCACACAACACCUCACUAACACUUACUUAAGAUUUUCUAUGGAACAAAAGUAAGAUUAAAUGGUUGUUUUGUUGAUUUGGAGCAAGAUGGGAUCAAGAACUUGGAGAGUUUCUUCCUUUUUUUUUUGAGAGAGAGGGCCGGCCAAGAUGAAGAGCAAAAUGGUGAAAUUUUUGGUUAAUUUUGUGAUUUAUUUGGUCAAAUAGAAAAGGUGAAUAGUGGUCUUAUAUAAGAAGCAAUCCUAUGGUGACACUUGUCACCUCAUUUAAUGACUUGCCUAACUUUUGUCUCUCUUAUACCAAUCCACUUAGUAUCCUCUACUUAUCUCCUAACACCCGAUAAAUUAAUUUCAGUAUCCAAAACUUAAUCUAGUUGGCCGAAUUUUUCCGAACUUUUCGUCCUAAUGGGUCCCACAUCCGGUAUACAUUCUUAAUUUCUCAAAACCUAUUCGAUACUAGAAAAAUCAUCCAAAAACUAUAUCCGCUCAUAAAAAUUAUCUAGAAAAUUUUCCUACUAAAGAAAAUGCAGAAAACAAGCCAUUAAAUAAAUAAAACCCUAGAAAAUGGGAAAAGUACGGGUUCUCACAGAUACGAAUGUAUAUAAAUACACAUAUACAUAUAUAUAUAGAUUAAUUUUAUAUAUACUGUUAAUGUAUACACUAUUACUAUUAGACAUUUAACACAUGUGCAAAUUUUGAAUUUGAAAAUACACUAUCACCAUUAGAUAUAUGAUACAUGUACAAAAUUUAAAUUUGAAAUUCAAAAUUUGCUCAUGUGCCAUCCAUCUAACCGUGAUAAUGUAUACACUGAUAUUGCAUAAAAUUUACUAUAUAUAUAAUUAAAUAUAUAUUAUGAUAUAUACUAUUUAUAAUUCAUAUUUAGUUGUAUAAUACUAUAUAUUAAUCUCGCCAUCCUAUUUUUAUUGUAAUAUUUCACCUUUUUCACUAUUCCAAAGUUUGAAUCAUGACAUAAUUUUUAUCUGGUAUUUUUAUUUUACCCUUGAAAAGUGAUCAUACAGAAUAGUUAAAAAUACAUUUUAAAAUUAGAUCGGCGAGAGAACCGGCUUAGUGUUCGGUACUCAAUUUUACCGGUUCAAUUGAUUCAAUCGGCCAGAUCACUAGUUUGUUUUUAAUUAAUCAAAAAAAGGAAAAAAAAUGGAAAGUCUAUAUUCUGCCAGCAUUCAUGACGAACCAAUGAGGGCAUCAUUUCUGCAAUGAUAGUUUCCAAGUAUCAACACUUCAUUCUUUUUAUUUUUCUUUUUUGCAUGAUUGGUUUCUUGGAUUUGCACAAGACGUCAAAAUAAAACAAAAAAACUUUAAAAAAUCUAACAAUUUAAAAGAAAUUUUAGAAGAACUUGAAAAUUUGUUGAUUAAUCCGUUAAUUGUAAGAAAAAGUUCAUCUUAAUUCCAAAACAGAUAUAUAUAUAUAUUUAUAUAUAUAUCUUACAUAUAUAAAGGGCGAAUGGCUUGUGAACAGUGCCUAAUGGUCCGGUUAUCCUGUGAUUUGUUGUGAGCUUGAGGGGUGUUUAGGUCUUUGGCAUUGAGUGGCAAUGGUUUUGCUGGAAACUCACUACUGUCCACGUGUGAUUCUUGGAUUGGAGCAAUUUUAGCGGUCAGCAAUUUCGGCCUUGUUUCCUCUCAUUAUUUUCUUGGCUUUCUUUACCAGGUGUCCAAGCAAUUUAGGCGAUGAGUUCAGAGUUCAGACGUGUAUCUAUAUCUUCAUUGUAUAAUUAUAGUUGCUUCAACUCCCCUGGUGAGUAGGCGGUGGAUGGUGUCCAAAGCGGUCUGUGGGAGAAGCACAAAGCUCUCUUGCUUAUGUAAUCUUGAGAGAAAUCCAUCUAAAAAUCAACAUAUUGGAUGUGUUUCUUUCUCCAAUUGAAGACCUGGAUUUGGCGGUUUUGCAAGGUGAAGUCUUCACACUCUCACCUAGCUGAUCUUGUGAGCAAGCCAUCUCAAAAGCAAUUUCUUCUUCCAAUUAAAAGCUUCGGGUUCCAUAAUUUCGCGAGGUGAACUCUUUGCUUCAUUUCUGCCUUUUGGCCUUUUUUCCUUAUAAUGAGAGGCCUAAUGAGUCAAAAUGUUUGUUCGAAUCAUUGCAAUGGUUCACCGAAGGGGGUUAAAAAUUUUAGAGAUAUUUUAUAGGUUUCAACUGUUGUGAAAGGGAAGCCAUUAUUAGACUUGCUAUGGCCAUCUUGCUGCAUGAUUAUGGUUUUUCUAGUGAUCAAUUUUAUGUUUUGUCCCAUUUGAAAGAAUUUGCAGAACAAUUUAGUGCAUAUGAUGUAUAUACAGGGAUUUGUCUAAUGCAUUGAUUACGCAUUUUAAGUAUGGUUUUGGCCUCAAUAAAAGGCCUAUCUGUCCUUCAAAUUUCUUUCAUUUAAUAUGAAUAUGUAUGGUCUUUGUUGGAUAUAUUUAGUUAGACCAAGUGAUGUCAUCCCGUAUUGUACAAAAUUAUAUCUGACAGCUGUACUUGUUUAACCUAGCACAAAUUAAUCACUUUUACGGCAUGGUGAAAAUAGAGAUUGAAGGUAAAACGAAAAGAGAUCCCAUCCAAUUAAUGAUUUUUUUCUUGGUUGAUUAGGUAAUUGUUAAUCAUUCAUUUUUUAUCUGCUCUAAAUUAAAGGUAAGCAUAUCUCCCGUGCCAGCAUCACUUGUAUGCACAAAUUCAUAAUACUCAUAUGUAGGAUCAAGUUUGCUCUUAUGCAAUUAUGUCUUGAUGUCUUGUCUUAUUGAAUUAAAAUUACUGGCUACUCUCAAAGGCCAUUAAUUUCAAAGUAAGAUUAUUAUAGAAUUUACUGGCUUGUCCAAAUUGGACCAUGUAAUAACCUAUUACAAUUAGUUUAUCUUUAUUGUUCUAGCAAAAAAAAUCUCGUUGCAUUGACUGUUAGAUCGUUGAUAAUUUAUUGCAGCUAUGAAAUACUAAUAUAUCAAUACUAAUAUGUUGUAUCGAUAUCUCACUUUAAGUCAAUUAGUAGUCCAAGUCCAGUAGGUAUAAAAAUCUCUUCAACUUCAUAAAUAAAUUGAGUAAACGAAUAACGACAACAACCAAUUUACCUAAAGUCAAAUUCUGCAUAGUUACUAGCACCCAUCAUGUAUUUAAUAUAUAAUCAUUUUAUAUUAAUUCACUUGCCUUCACUUGAUCUUGUUUAACACAGAUGGAAAAAAAACUAGUAUAUAUAUAAGGUACUACAAACCGCACAAAAUGCCCAAAAAAAUUUUUUACAAUCACCAUUCUUAUGUGGCCAUCAUAAUCUUUAUCACCACCAAUGAGAGCUCCCUGCUUAAAUAGUUCCAAACCUGCAACUAGCCCAAUUUUAUCAUCAUCUUUACCAUUUAAAAUAAAAAAAAUUAAAAGAAAGAAAACUUAGAACAUUAUGGUGAUGGGAGAAGUGGAGACAACAAGAGUGGUUGUGGCAGAUAUGAUUGAUUACUGAGGCAUAUUAGGACUCUUCUCUUAAGUUGAUUUGGGUGUUUUGUAUUUAGCCCCUUGAGUAGAAUCAAGGUUCCGUUUGAUAAAACUGAAUCUGAAUUCUAAAGUUUGAAUUCUGAAAUCUGAAUACUGAAACAAUUAAUUUGCUGAAUUUUAAGUACUGAAAAGAAAUAUAUGAAUGUCUGAAUUUUAAUGCUAAACCUAUUUAUACUGUUUGAUAAAUAUUUAUAACUGAAUGUUUAAUAAGUUAAAUUUGACAAUUUUGCCCUUAUAUCUUUUCAUCCAAAAAAGAAAUAGAACCUAUGAUUUAAUUAGUUAAAAAUGUUAGGUAUGAAAAUGACAAUAUUUAUUUUUAAAUCAAAUUAAUAUAAAAGAUGAAUUUUAUUAUAUGAGGAGUAUGGAGAAGAAGUGAAAGUCAUUCAAAAGGGAGGAAAAAAGAAAUAGAAAAUCAUUAGAUAGAGAACAUUAGGUUGUUUAAUUAUAUUAGAAUUUUGAACAUAAUUAAUAAACAAUGGUAGAUUUGGUAGAUAAGAUACAGUAGUUGAAAUAAUUCUAUUGGUUCUUAUCAAAAGUAAGCAUUCAGUUAGGAUUUUUGUGCUAAAAAAAAUACACACAAGUUCAGCACUACUUAACAAGUUCAGCAAAUGAAUUUUUAUUUAUCAAACACUCAAAACAUCUGAAUAGUUGAAAAAAUUCAGAUUCAACACUUUUUUAUGUUAUCAAACAGACCCCAAGUGUUGUUUCAGUACAACUAUUGGCCUUUGGUAGUCCCAAAAAAAUCAGUUCAGCAGCCUAAAUAUUUGAUAAGUCCAGUAGUCCAACACAAAUUAAAAAACCAGACUUGACCAGUUCAACUGGUUUUUACCAAAUUUGACUGGAUUUUUGUCAUUUUCUGUUUUUCCAUUCAAUCAGACCAGUGUCAUGAUUGGUUUUCAAUUCAGUCGAUCAGUCCGGUUCGAAUUUUAAAACCCUCAUUGAAAGAAAAUGUUAGUAUGAUAGGCAUUGCAAAUUUUUGCAGUUAGAUUCCAUACAUGUUUCUUACCUCCCUUAAAAUGAGUUUGAAAUGAUGUGGGACUUGUCGAACAUUUUCUCACAAGAAAACUAACACUAAAUGCAUUUUCAUAAAGUAAAUGGGCAAAGAUGAAACAAGCAUCUGAAAUUCAAACUUGUUUCAAAUCGUACAUAAGAAGUUGGAAUGUGAAAAGCUUCCAUUUUAUCAUGAAAUAAGGGGUAUCAUAAUAUAUAUCCUUAAAGUUUAUUCAUUCAAUGAAUUUUGAAUUGGAUGAUGGCUUUAUGGAGUUCUUUUUUGUUUCAAUUUUGAUGGAGCAAUGGAAAUUAAUUUUUAUCACAUUGAACAUAUAAUUGAGGGCAAUUGAAAAUUUGAGAAUGGAGGUAAGGAUUUUCUGCAAGUUCUUAUCAAAGAGCUUACGAGAAGAAGCAUAAUGGGAAAAGGAGAAGCCAUUUGCAGCAAAGCAUUUAUGGAAAAGGGAAUUGUGAUGAGAAAGGUGCAAGGAAAAACAACAAAUGAAGCAGGAGGUAUGUGGGUUAUAAAAUGUAUUUUCAUGCAACAAAAGCUACGAAUAGAAGAGAUUACAGAUAUACUGCAAAUAUAAUUUGCAGUGUAUAUAUAAUUACGUAUCAUAUAAGAUUGAGCCAAACUCGAAAUAGGUAUAACAUUCUUUAGUUUUAUGAGUCGAGUAUGAGCCUCAUCGUAGAAUCCAAAGCUCAAAACAAGAAAGUCUAAAGUUCUACUUUUUGGUGUCAACUGAACUUAGGUCUAUCAGAUAUUGACUCCAAAAACUCAAAUUGACUGCUCCUACACAUUAUGUCUUAUAGAUGCAAAUGUGCAUUUUGUGUUCAAACAUAGAAUAAAGGAGCACAUUGUCUCAUUUAAAUAACCGGAUUGUUUAAAUCUGAUUUGGUUGUCUUGUGAUGAAGUACUUAAAUAGUUUUAACAUUAGCAUCCUUCUCUCUAUGACGACACAUUUUCAUUAAAAAAAUGGCCAUAAUAUCUAUACUAACUGAGUAAUUGCAAUAGGAGUGUGAGUAGCAGGCACUAUUCUUGACGAAGAAGAGGACUUAAAGUUCCUUGACUAUCAUAAGUAAGCUAGCCUUUAUUUGAACCAACUAGGCAAUCUUAUGCCGUGCAUUGCGCAGUAAUACAAGAUUUGUGUCCCUCCAUCUUUGAAAAAUUUAUGCAUUUUGUUUUUAUAGUUGUUAUAUGCAUGUUAGUAAUAUAUUUUUGAAAACAAAAAGAUUUGGGAAAAGGUUAGUAGAAUUUAAUUAAAAUUUGAUGAACAUAAUUUGUAUAUCGAUACAGAUGACAAAUAUUUUUGAAUGGUAUAUUCUUAAUGUGCAUAACUUUAUAUGAAGAAAAGGAAGGAUUAGUAUUAUAUGAAAUAAAUAAAGAAAGUUUAGUUACAAUGAAGAUGGUGUUUAGCAAAUAUUAGGCGCAUUUAGGAGAAUCAAUGGGAAAUUUGUAAUGAAUAAUAGUUAAUGCCAGACUGGUAUUAAUUUAUUGCCUUGUUACAUUAGUAUCUGGAAUAGCUAUAUUUUGAUAGAGUAUUAAUUUUAUCACAAACUAAUUGUUAAAAGUAUAUUUAAUUGAGGAUUAAGUAUUGAGUUACCAGUAACUAAUCACCAUCUAAUCUAUUCAUAACAUUAGUAAUCAGUCUACUAAUUAUAACUAAAACAUUGGGAAAGUGUAGGCAAUUAAAUCUAAAGUAGGUGUCAAAUGCACACAAAUUAAGUGAAAAAAAAUUUUACAAAAAGAGUAGGAGAAUCAGAGCAAUGGCAUUAAAAUAGAAAAAAGAACAACAAAAGGGAAAUGAAGGACACAAAAUAGGGAUAAUAAGCUUGGCAAUCAAAAAUUAAUAGCCUUCAUAUAGAAUACAAGAUGUAAAAGAUAGCACAAACAUACUUCAGACAAAAUUUGCAGUCUUUGACAUAUAGAGGGCUGAAGAAAAAAAGAGCAUAGGUCAAGCACCAAUAGAUUAGAGUAUUCAUAAUCUCAAAAGUACUAUAGCCUAAUGGCUUACUGUGACAGCCCCACCUCCCCUAAGGCGAACCAAAGGGUUUGGCGGACAGCCUGCCCAACUCUCGCCGGGAUUCAGUCGCUCACUUCAAUCCUCAGUCAAAACCAGAACAAACCCAUAAGAAUAAACAUAACAACGAUCCAAAACUUAAAACAAAACUUAUAUACAUUGAUAUCUCAAAAGGAAGUACAACCGUCGAAUAUAUAGAGGUUCUCAAUUCACCGUACAACCAGCCCAUGCCAAGCACUAGGGCGAGAACCAUUACAAAAAAAAAUCAAGAGCUAGACCAAGCUAGUCUAUACAGGCUGUCGUCCUUGCUCGCCUUCCCCUAUUAAGGAAAACAAAACUAAAGGGAUGAACUAAAAGCUCACUGAGGUUCCGAACACAUAGGCAAACAAGAAGUUCAAUUCAUUCAUUACAUAUAACCAACAAUUCAAGAUACAUUUAUGAUAUAAAACGAUAAACACAAUCAAUAAAAGGAUAUGUGCUCACAGGGAACCAUUCAUUCGUUCAUUCAUUCAUUCGUUAUCCUUUCAUUCCCUUAUUCCUCCAAUCGUUUGAAAAUACAUUUAGAUAAGUAAAACCCCUCAUUUGCAUGGACAUUUGUUCGUUCAUUUCAUUCACCCCCUUCCCGGAUAUUGGCCAGACUUCACCAGACUUCAGGGUAAUACUCGAGUAUACCAAACAGUUACCCAAGGUCACCAUAUCGCCCGACCGAGUCUGCUUCUGGCUCGAGUCGAUCGGUAACGAAGGGCAGGGCCCAGUUCAGCCAAAAGGCUUACAUUCAUGCACAACUAACAUUUAAUCACUUCAACAUUAAAAAUUUCACAUUUCAUUUAGGUCGAGUGCGAUAAAUUACACACUCGCCUAUAAAACUCGUUUUGGCAAUCAUUGAACACAUUUAACAUGUUAACACCCAUUCAUACAAGUUAACAAUCAUUCAUACAAGCCAUGUAAUCAAGAAGGUAUAACAAACAAGGAACACUCACCUAUUUACUCAAAACAAUGUGCAAAAUAUCCUUCCGGAUAUUACCGUCAGUCAUCGAGAAAAUCUAAAAUUCAACGAGAAAGAAUAUCACAAUUCAUCCAGCAAAACAAGUAAGUGAAAUCGAAGAAAAAUCCGACUAAUGCCGAGUAAAAUGUAUAAGAACGCCUUUAAAGUGAAAAGAGGCCAUUUGGAUCUGUGGACGGAAAUAACUAGAGUUUCAUAAAGUAACCGCAAAACCAAACUCAAAAGGGUUAUAAAAUUUCCGGCGGAAAACACUUGGACCAAAGUCAAAUCGGAAUCCAACUGGAUCAACUAAGAAAUAUUGUUUCGGACUCGUUUAUAUGACUCAAAAGCAAUAUAUAUUCAAGUGGGCAUUAUACGACCAAGCCUUGAUGAAAAUCAUGUGAAAAAGGGGGACAAAAAUACUUUAACUUCCACACUUAAAACCUCACUUAAAAGUAAUUCACUUGUGGCCGAUAACACCCUAACUCAUACCUCUCUAUUUUGGGAAGGGCAUAAGGAAACAUUUGAAGUUUCAAACGGAAAAGGUAUCAUGUCUUAAAAUGGUAAAACGGUCACAUUAUUUGCCGAGCGAAAUAUACAAGUUCAUAUAGAAACUUAGCCCUCGAACACCUGUUGAAAGAACUGAUGAAAUUUUGAAGGAAAAACGUCCAACUCGACACAAAUCACAUUUGCAAAAUCACUUUAACUCAUUUACAAGACAAGAUAAGGAAACGGACAGUAUUUCCCCUAAUUUUCUUCACUCUCACCCUACAAAUAAAAACCAUUCUCAUACCAUUAAUUACAAUCACACAUAUGGUCCAUAGGUAAUAAAACAUAUCUAAUUAGGGCACAAAACCCUCAAUCAAAGCCAAUUAGAGACUCAAAAGCCAACCAUAAGAAAACCCCCAAAAUAAAACCCUAGAACCGGGAUUUAUCCUCACAAGCGUAAAUUUUUCGCAAUCAACCGCAAUUAAUGCACAAAGGUUCCAUUUAACACCAUCUCAAUCCAUCAAUCCAAGACCAAUCCAUGACUUUCAUAUAAAAUCAAAAAAUUCCCAAUAAAUCAGAAAAUGGUCCAACUUGACCUAAAACCAUGAAAUCAUCAACAAUAUAGUAUCUUUAACCUUCACAAUCCAUCAAUAUACCAUUAUUCAAACAAAACAAUAACUUUCUUAGCAACUCACCUUACAAUUCAAGAAAGGUAGGAACUUAGAGUUUCACUCCCAAAAACAACUCCACAAUCACCUUUAUUCCUCCUUAGUAUACCUUUGUAUAGAGUGGUUCGAAAAUCCAAUAGUGAAAUAUCAAGAUUCAAGUAAAAAUUGAAGUUGGAAAAUGAAUAGCUUUUCCUGCUUUCUCUCAAGACCCACGGUUGAGCUAAGAAAGAAAUGAAGAUAGAAGAAAAAAUGUAUAAUACAUCACAGAAACAAAAAAAUGAAAAAUUAAUCAUAAACACAUUUCUCAACCCACCUUUUUAUAUUUCCAAUUACUUUUUUAUCUCACAUACAUUCCAUCAUAAAAAGUACAACAGUAAUUAUUUCAAAUAAUACUCUAUCCAAACAAACCAUUUAAUUCUUCUAGGGAGGGACAAUAUUUUCAUCUCUCUGUCUUAUAUCCAUGCUACUUUCAUAGUAGACACUAACACCCUAGCAAUUCACAUUGCUUAAAGAAAUUCUUCUCCAUAUAUAAAUGACAAAUGAAAGGCAUCUAGAAAAGAUUCUCGCCACCUCCUACAUAACCCUUCUAAUUUAGACAAUACCUUUAUUUAUUUUUUUGAAAGGGCUGAAUUAUGGUGUUCAAGGCGAGUUCUUCCGAUUGAGAUUCGUUUGAAUUCUAACUUUUACUUUUAGAUGAUUUGCAUCCUAAACUUAUAAAAAUUUUCAAAUCUCUACAAUGACUUUCACUGUUAGAGUAAAGUAGAUAAAAGCACAUGAUUAAACUCUUUUUCUUGAGAUUAUUAGAGAAUAAUAUCCUUUUUAACUUCAAAUAGGAAAUAUUUUGUGGUUUGUGUAUAUCGGCGUUACUUGUAUAUAGUGUGUUGUAUAUGUAGUGUAUAAUUGUAUAUUGUUUGGAACUCUAGUUAAUAGUGUGUUGAAUUGUGGUAAUUUACAAUUAACUAGGUGGCUUUGCUUUGCUCUUUGCGCAGGGUUGCCCAUGAUUUGGUAAUGGUGUCUUUUUUGUUUUUGGGUCAUGUGUUUUAUGGCAAUAAGAAAAUGUUAAGUGAUGCAGUUAGUUGGCUAGUAAUAAAGUUUAAUAAUAUUAUUAUCGAAAUAUUUAUUAAUGAAAAAAAUAUUUAUUAUGCAAUCAUUCGCUAUAGUAUGCUUAUUAAUAGAAAUUACUAAGGAAAAAAGCACACUGAAGAGAAAUAAAAUAGAGGGGAAAAUGGGAAAUAAUUGAAAAAAAAUCAAUGAUGAUGAUAUAGAAUAAAAAUAGAUAUUAUUAUUGUUAUGCUAUUGAAAUGAAGAAAUAGAUAAAUAAUGGAUAAAAAUAUUAGUGAUGAAUGUGUGUAAAGAACAUUAAAAUUGAAGGGAUCUUUUUUAAUUAUUUCAUAAAUGAAAAAAAGGAAAACAAUUUUGAAAUGCAGAGGAAUCUAAAUACAAAGGGAUUUGGAGUGGGAGUGGUAGUAAAAUAUUUCACUGAAUUAAAACUAGAAAAGGAAAAAACUCUAAAAUGCAGAGAAAUGUGAAGUAAAAUAUAUAAAAUAAUUUUUUAAAUCAUGCGCUUUGUAUUCAACUGGAGUUCAAUAUGUUCAAUUAUACAUGAUUUAAUGUUUUUGUGAGGAAUUGGGAGGUAUUUGGAGCAUAAUUAACACUAAAUUGUUUAACUAAAUUCAAAGGGAAAAAGGAAAAAAUUUGAAAUUUAGAGAAAUUUGGAGUAAAAUCUAGGAGAUGAUUUUUUAAAAUCACGUCAUGUUUAUUCAAUUGGAGUUCACCAUAUCCAAUAGAAAAGAUAUCAUUAUUAUUAUACUAUUAAAAUUAAGGGUGCGUUUGAUAAAACUGAAAUAUGAAAUAUGAAAACUGAAAUAUGAAAUCUAAAUCCAUUAAAUUAUUGAAUUGUUAAGUAUUAAAUCAAAUACAUUUGAGUGUAUAUCAUAUUCAGUGAUAAGCUUUGAGUGUAUGUCAUAUUCAGUGAUAAGUGAAUAGCUUAUCACUUAUUUUUUGGAGCAAGUUUUGCCUAGAGAAUCUAGUGUUAUUUAAUUCAUAUAGAUAUUCAAUUUUUGGUUAUCAAACAUGUUUGAACAUAUUAAAAUCUGAAUUCAUUAAGUUUAAAUGCUGAAUUAGUUUAUCAAACAAGGGCCUAAGUAAUAAACAACUAAUGUACAUAAACAAUAAUAGUAGAUUUGUCAAGAAAGCAUUGAAUAAGUGUCUAAUUAGGUGAUCCUUUUUUUCUUUUAAUAUAAAUAGAAAAUAUGUGGAAUAAAAUUUAUAAAUUUGCAACAAAUUUCAUGGAAUCUUUAUUGCACCGUUCAUUUAUUAGCAUCAAUACAAAGUAAUCCAUUCAUCCUACUUUGAUAGUUUUUUUUUUCAUCCAUCCUAAAUUAUAGUUCACAUUCCAAUUGAAAAAUAUAAUUAAAUUGUAAUUUCACUAAAAUAUCUUUGUUUAAUGUACUUUAUUAUCAAUGAGUAUAACUUACUUUAUUCAUUAAAUGCUUAGAUUCAUGGUUUGAAUGGUACAAUCUUUUAUAGUAUUGUUAUUGUAAUUAAUGUAAAGAUUUAGUGAGUAGUGAUUAGUGAUACUUCUGAUAUUAGUUUAACGGUACUUUAAGAAAAUAGUAGACUGAAUUUACUUUUUUAACAAAAUUAACUAGCUUUUCUUAAACUAUGUACAAAAUAGAAAAAUAUCAAUAUAGAACAGAGGGAGUAAUUAGGACACAAUUUAUCAAGCAAAAAGCUUUUCAAAGGAGCGAGCAAGAAAAAAUAAAUUCACUCUUCCAUUGUCUAUGUGUAGUCAUUUCCAGCCGUUAAACAUUAAUUUUCUAUUAUCUAAAAGUCAUUGAAACAAUUGGAGUUCAGCGCAUUUGACACUAAAAAAAUAUUAGCAUAAUUAUUUUUUUAGCAAUGAAGAAAUAAAUAAAUGGUGCAUAAAAAUAGUAAUAGUUAAUGUAUCCAAAGAGCAUUAAAUUAGUGUCCAAUCAAGAAAGUUUCUAUAUUUUCACUAAUAUAGAGGAAUUUGGAGCAAAAUGUAUCGUGAUUUUUUUUUGUUAGAUUAUUAGAUUAUGUUCAUUAUGGCAAGCAUCUUUCACUAAUAUAGAGAAAUUUGGAACAAAAUUUAUCCUGAAAAUUUUCAUUACGCUAUGUUUAUUAAUACAAGUAAGAGUUAGGGAAAAAGCCAUUUAAGGAGGGGAAAAACUCAUAGAAACAGGCAAGAAAUAAUGAAUUUGCUUUAUAUGUUGGCUAUUUAAAAGGUACAUAAGUAAUUAAAUCUCAUGAUUAUUUUUUACCAAGACUUUAUCUGUUGUUUGUUUAAUCAUUUAUUGCUAUUAUUACUUUUUGACUAUUUAAAUGCAAGUAAUUAAAGCUCACCAUACUUCGUUUUCUUUUUUAGUAAUAUAGAAAAAUUUCAAACAAAUUUGGUAUUAAAAUAUUCAAUUGAAUUUGGAACAAAAUUAUACUAAUUUUUUUUAAUUUGUGCAAAAAUUGUUAUAGAAGUGGCCAAUCAAGGGAGCCUUUAUUAUUAUUAUUAUUAUUUUUUGGUCAAGAGUGUGGACAAAUUUUAGAGCAGAUUUUUUUAGUGAGGAAUGUAGACAAAAUUUGGGGCGGAACUCAUAUUAAAAUGUUAAUCUAAAUUUAUAUUUUCCUAAUGGCUGAAAAAGAUAAUAGUAUUAGUCCAAAAUUAGAUAUGAUGUCUUUUUUUUAUUAAAUUCAUAUGGCUCAAGGCAUGGCAAAACAGGAACAAAUUGUGGCUCAUCAUGCGUUUUUUUCAGGCUUAGAUCAUGGCAAAAUCGAAAUAAACUGUUGCUUGGGGGGGCAUUAAAAACCCACAUGCGGCACAACGGCGUAGGACCGGCGAAUUGACCAAAAAAAAGUGCAAUGGAUUGAUAACUUUAGGCUUAGGUACAAUUAAUUUGUAGCAGACGAAAAUUUAGAGGGCAAAAUAGGAAUUGUAAACAACAUUUGCAUCGGUGGACUUAGAAAAGUACGUGGGGUGCGUUUGGAUAGCAAUUUUUUUUACGGUAAUUUAAAAAAUUGCUACGUUUUUUGGUGAAUAUCUUUAAAUAAUUUAUUUUAUUUUAUAUAUAUAUUAAAUAGUUACGGUAAUUUUUCUGAAAAAAAUUAAAAAAAUGUAAUUCAAACAAAUCUUUAACAUUCUUUGCACCUAUAUAUUACAUGUAUGUGUAUUCCAGCGCGUCGCCUGUCGGAGGGAUUGAACAGUUGGAACAUUUCCCUUCUUGGUUUGCCUCUCUCAUUUUCCUUGCUUCAAAGUUCAUCGGGAUCAUUUUCCUUGCUUCAAAGUUCAUCGGGAUUGAGUGAGGACUAAGCACGACGAUCAUGCUUCAUCUCUCUCUCAAUUUCCAGGCUCAUUUGACUCUCCAGAAAACCCAGUCUUACCGUUACAGGAGACCUCUCAUCUCUGCUUCAGGUUGGUUUUUAUGUCCCUCUAUGUUAGUAUUCUAUUUAUUUGGCAUAAAAGAAAGAGAAGAAUCCACCGUUCUACUGGAAAACGAUUUCCAACAUCUAAUUCCUUCUAUGAGAAAACACUUGCAUCCAAAGGAUGGUUUAAACUUUUUAUCUUAUAUCAUGAAUGUCAUACAGAUGGUCGAAUUUGUAGUUUCAAGUCAAAAGAUCAUUAAUAGAAAAGAAGAUUAGUACUUCAUUUCAUCUUCUCUGAUAUAAGGAUUUUGCUACUUACCCACUCAAAGACCCUGACAGAUUUGCCCUGAUUGUGAAGAUGAAAUGAAGAAAGAGCAAUUAAUUAAUUCCGGUGUGUUUCAAUAUGAAAAUGAAAAGCUAUGGCAAGCUUUCAAAUGGGUUUGUGUUUUGAGGAUACACUCUGAAGAAGGUGAAGAAGAGUGUAGUUUAACUGCUGUUUUUUGUUGGUUGAUUUUUCAUCCAUAUGUGAAAAGUGAAAUAAAUUUUUUUCUAAAAAAUUUUUUAAGUGUGUUCACUUAGUGGUUGACAAACAAAGUAAAUAACAUUAAAUUGAUAUUUUGUUAAAAAGCAUGUACUGUUGAUAAGUAUUUCAUAGACACAUAUGAGACAUUUCUUUGUUUUAUUUUACAUAGUUUAAUAGGCAAAUGACUCAUACAUUCUUGAUUCUUACAACUUGUGCGCAUUAGGCGGGUGGAAUUUAGCAGGGCUAGCAAAUUUUGACUGUGGGGGCAAAGCCCAUUUUGAUAAUUCUAAUUCUAAUUUGAUAUGAUACUUGAAAGUCACCUGGUCCUGUAGGUCCAUAGGAAAAUCUAGACAAUUUUUUCAAGGUGUUGUAUGUAGUAUAUCCAUGUAGUAAUCAAUUCUUAUCUUGUGCAUUUGAAGCAAUUACCAAUUUGUUUGAAUCAUUAUAAGUUAUUUUCUCCUUUUUCAUGUUAAGCCCAGAAGACAUUAACUCUAAUUGUGCUGUUCUUCUUUGUCCCUUUUUCUUUUGAGCAGUCGCUCUGGAGACUGGAGUUCAAGGAUUAUCAUCCCCGCCUAAUUCUUCUGUCUUAGUAUGAUUUCUUAUAAACAUCUAAAUUUACUUUAUUUUUAGGGGGUUCUUGUCAUCCAUGAUGAAGUAAUUCUUUCUCUUCAAUCUCCAUGCAGUGGGUUGACCAGAGUAAAGAAAGAAUUAGGAAGCUAUUCAAUGAAGUUGACUAUUCUGUUUCUGCCUAUGAUACCGCCUGGGUAGCUAUGGUCCCUGAUCCACAUUCUUCCCAGGCUCCCCUUUUUCCCAAGUGCUUAAAUUGGUUAUUAGGUAGUCAGCUUCAUGAUGGCUCAUGGAGUCUUCCUCAUCACCAUCCCCUAUUGCUUAAAGAUGUUCUAUCCUCCACUCUUGCGUGCGUUCUUGCACUUAAGACAUGGGGGAUCGGUGAAGAACACAUCAAAAAGGGUAAUUUCUAACUGGCUUUUUCUUUUCUUUUUUUUUUGGGUGCAAAUCUGAAAUUUCUCAAGUAUAUAUGCCUCUAUGAACUUUCACUGGAUUGAUGCAAGUUCCACACUAAUAGGUGUUCGCUUUAUUGAGUUGAAUUUUGCUUUAGCAUAUGAGGAGUGCCAGUUUUCUCCAGUUGGAUUUGACAUAAUAUUUCCAGGCAUGCUUGAUCAUGCAAGAGAUUUGAGCUUAGGUUUUCAACUGGAACCCAAACUCUUAAAUGACUUGCUUCAUAAGAGGGAUAUGGAGCUUGGAAGGUACAUCUCUGUCAUGUUGUAUUGUAAUCUAAUUAUCUCUGGCUUCAUUUGACAAAAUCAUUUUUCUAGAUAUGCAUAGAGGUGUCAAAUAAGUGAUUUGAGUGGGCUUGGAUGGGUCCUAAUUGAGUAAUAGGUAUAAUUGGGUCAAUCCAUUUAUACUCAUUUAAAUAAAUGGGUACCCUUUUAUGUCCAUUUAAUAAAUGGGUAAAGGUAUAUCCAAUUACCUAUUUAUGAGUCACUUAAAAUUCUACUUUUUUUUUAAAAUUUUUCGUAUAUUAUUUAACAAGAAAUAAUGGUAUUUUAUUGUUAUUAAAUUGGUAAGAAAUUCAAAUUUAUUUGUUUAACACUCACUAAAAUUGAGUUUAAAUAUAUAAUUAUUUUUAAAUGGGUAUAAAUGGGUGAUCUGAGUCAACCCACUAUCUAUCAAUUAAACAGGUUUAAUUGGAUACCCAUUUAGGCCGAUUCAAAAUUAACGGGCAGGUUUGGACGGGUUUAGGUGAGUCAACAUAAUUAGGUUGUGAUUGAUACAUACAGUGGAGCCUAAUGGUGCUAUAUGAGUAAUUAUUAUAAUGUAAAGUUCUUUUGGAAGAAGUAGAAUAUCUAAGCUGUGAAUUGGAAUAAAGAGCCAAAGAGCAAUGCGGUAAUCCUUCCUAAAAUUUUGGACUAUUUUCACUUUGCACCCCUAACAUCUUCAAGCAUUCUUACUUUUCACACUUACAUUUGUUUUGAGAACUGCACCCAAAGUUUACCACAACAUCCCAAAUCACCAAAAAUAUUCACAAUGCAAAUAAAAGAAGGCAAAAAUUUAAUGGUGCAUGCAAUUUUCUUGAUUUUUGAUAGACUGAUGUCACUAUUAAUUCCACCCCAAGGAUGCACGUAUUUCAGGUGGAGUACUUGAAGAAUUUUCACCUACUUUUCUUAAUUAGUUUAUAUUAACUGGCGUGGUUUGAAACAAAUUGGUAAAUUGACGGUGCUAAGUGUUUACAAAAAUGUUUAAGGUGUGAAGUGGCAGUAAUUGGUAUCUUUGGGAGACAGAUUGACCAAUGUAUAUAUUUGAAAAGGUAGAUAGGAUGAAGAAUUUUUUAAGCAAAAUGAUUUUGCAAGAAGAAGUUGAAUCGAACAAUUAUGAAUGUUGAAGUAGUCAUUAUCAGGUCAAUCAAGUAGCAUGAUUGAUUAAUUUGGUCGGAAGAAUAAAUUAGUUUAAAAUUGGUUAUUUGUAGGGGCAAAAACUUGUGUAGAUUCGGUCUGCAACCCCACUCGUAGAUUGAGUAGUGUCAAAUUUGCCACAUCCUGUGGAAUUUAAAUGUUUAGAAAUCAUGGCAACACAUUGAUGACAGACUUUACUCAUCACUGGAUGGCACCUUACUCAUGCUGCCUUGAUUGAAACCUCAGCCCACCACCACCAACCUUCACCUUCAACGCUUGGAACCUCAAAACCCCACAUUCUUUAUCCUUAAUCUCCAUCAAAUCUGCUGCCAUUGUCAGCUUUGUUUUCUUCCAUGUCUUCUUCUCCUCUUUCCACAAAACAUAAGGUUGGGAUUCCAAAUUAUUUCUUAUCUACAUGGAUUUUCAAGAAAAUCCAAAUGUUAUUCCCAAUAUUUCAGAACAAAAUUUAAUCAGAAAUCAAAAGCAAAAGAAAAGAGAAAAUCAAGAUUGUGGCAUUGGAGGUUAUUUUUUUUCGGUUUGGAGAUCUUGCCAGGAAUGGAGAUGAGUUGGGAAAGAAGGUAGGAAGAAAGUUUAUUUGUACGUAUCUUGAUCUUUAUGGUAUCUCUAAUUUUUUGAUUUGUAUGGUUAGUAGCUCUUUUUUUGGUGCAAAGCUUUCCAUUUAUAUCUCUAAACACUCAAGUUUCAAGGCUGUGUAUUAGAGAUACCUAUGGAAUAUUGACCAGUUUAGGUGUCUCUCUCUCAUUUUUUUUUUUACACUGCUUGAAACUAUUGUGAGUUUAUCUGUUUAUGUCAUUAAAAUUGUAAAUUUGUAGUGGAACUCAAUUUUACUGUGGGGUGAAAGCUCCAAUAGGUUUGAUUCAAUCUACAAAAAGGACAAAGGAUUGAUUUUGGGUUUUUUGAAGUUUGAAUGUUGAGGACCAAACAAAGUGCCGGAGAUGAUUUUGGGGUUGGGGAAAGGGGGGAAGGAAGGGAGGCAGUAAGAUGUUUUGAUAAUGGUGGUGGCGGUAACCGGUGGAUGUGCAGGAGUGGUGGGAGUGGGAGAGGGAAGAAGGAGGCGAGGGGGGAAGUGAGGAAGGGGUUUGGAUAAUAUUGGUGGCAAUAAGCAGGUGGGCGUUUGCAGAAUCCUUGGGGAAGAGGAAGUGGGGAAGGCAUAGUUCUUAACUGGAGAGUGAUUGGUUCAUCAGGGUAUCAAUUCAAUCAGGGGUUGGAUAGUUCAAUCAUGAGUUGGACAAUAAUUAUAUUAUAUAAUAUAAUAAUAUAAUUUUAAAUUAUAAAAAUAAUAAAAUUUUGAAUUGAUGGUUUAAUCAACAGUUCAAUCGAUGGGUUUUUUUCAAAUCAUCAGUUGAACUGUUGAAUCGUUGAUUAGUCAAUAGGUUUGUUGUUUGAUUAAUCUAAUUAAUGACCCAGUUCGGUCUUAUGACUAGUUCAUUGAGUUGAUCGGUUCAAUCGUCAAGUUGGGCCGAAUUUUAUAACUGUGGGAGAAGGGAUGUUCACGAUGGUGGUGGACAGGAGGCGGUCAUUAGGUGGCAGUGGAAGGUAGGUGCGGAGGAAUUGCGCUGAGGACAUUGUGAAAGUUGAGAAAGUGAGACAUCUUGGACUAAAAAAAUCACAGGAUGAUGUGGCAUUAUUCAUACCACUCGAUCUACGCGGUGGGCCUGUCAAGUUUUUGCCAUUUAUAGGGGCUAUUCUCAAUUAGUUUAUGUGUGGUUUUAUGGUUUCAUUAAACAAAUAAUUUGUGCAGCAACUUAAAUUUUGUAAUAUUAGUAGCAUUAUAACACUAAGAAUCUCAAAGAUAGGAUGUUCAUUGUAGUAAAAUAAAUAAAUAAAUAAGGACACAUGUGAUUCAUAAUUUGCCUCUAAGCCCCUAAAGUAUCUAUCUUUUCUUUGUUGCUCUAAUCAUUUAGAAUCCGUGAGAGCCACUCAAAGAAGAGUGAGGCAUUCUUGGCAUAUGUAUCCGAAGGAUUGUUAAAGUUACAAAAUUGGGAUAUGGCCAUGAAAUUUCAAAGGAAGAAUGGAUCACUCUUCAAUUCACCUUCAGCAACUGCAGCUGCUGCUAUUAAUGUCCGAAAUCCGAGUUGCCUGAAUUACCUUUAUUCGGUUAUUGACAAGUUUGGCCCUGCAGGUCUCUUUAUUUUCAAUGUACCCAAAUUGAUACUUACAUAGCUAUCUUAUGCUUCCUUACUGCUGCUGCUGCUUCUUUUUGUUGCUUUUUUCAGUCCCAGCAGUUUACCCUUUGGAUAUAUAUGCACGCCUUUGCCUGGUUGACAAUCUUGAGAAGAUGGGUAUUUCUCAAUAUUUUACGAAUGAAAUUCAGUGUGUAUUGGAUGACACAUACAGGUAAUCUUCUGAUCUAAAAUUAUGGGGCAUAAUUAAUAAACUUGCUUGGCUUAAUUUUUUUUUUUUUUUACCAAAUAGGGUAAUGAACCUUAAAUUAAAAGUUCACAAUUGCAUGUGGUUUCACAAGUCAAUAUCUUAGUUAAUAUCAUUCCAAUGCUAUCUUAGGCCAACACUUGCUCAAAACAUGAAUUGCAUGCAUUAAAUAUCUAGAAGCAAGUUGUCGAUGGAUUUUUCUUGAUUGGUUCAACUUAUUGACAAUUAAUAACAUCCACAAAAAAAAAAGAUGCUGGCUGCAGGGUGAGGAAGAUAUAUUUGCAGAAACAUCGCACUGUGCCCUGGCCUUCAGGUUAUUACGAAAGCAUGGUUAUGAUAUCUCCUCAGGUAACUGCUAAAGCGUUUGCACAUUUUGCUAAAUACUGGUGUGUUUUGCAGCCCCAAUGUCUUGCAUAAUUCCCACUUAGCACCAUCCAAUUUUGUUAUUGACGCCAUGAACCCAAACUUAUUAAAAAGUUCCUUGUCACCUCAAAGGCUUGCAUUUUUAGUGAUGGUAGACCAAACCGUUCUUGGUCACUCUUUUUCUUUUUGUUUUUUGGAUGAAAUUAGUAUAGACUGAAGACAAUAUUUAGCAUUGAGAAGGAAAGGUUUUGUUGUAUACCAGUGUUAUUUAUAUGUUAGCUUUAAUUGCAUGUGAGAUUAUGGUAAUUUCUUGAUUUUAAAACUUAGCCUGAACUGUCCAGUCGAACCAAUCAAACCAUUAACUGGGCUGCUUUUUGUUAUGCUUCAAAUUUGGAUGGGUUGAAAAAUCUAUCUAAAUUUUGAAAUCCAAUCGAACUGUCCAGUUGGACUAGUGAUCCAUCAAACCUUGAUUAUUUUUACUAAAUCAUUAUGGUUCGUGGUCUAAUCCAUUGUUGUUGGCUCUUAAAUACAAACAAGUAGGUCCUGUGCAUUAAAUGCAAGGAUGAGAGGGACAGGUUGUGGAGCAUUUAUACAUGUUGUCCGUAUCACUUUGGUAUUAAAUCCUCUAAUUCUUUUAAAUUUCCAAAUCUAUCCCUUUUUUUUGUUUAUUGUCCCAUUUCAUUUUUCUAAAAUUAUACUUUUAGCUUUAAAUGGUUUACAAAAUUUUGAAUUACUGAUGUGAUUUCAUGUUUCUUAUCCUCAUAACCAUUGUAAAUUUGAUAAAUGAAGAAUCAAAGCACUUCAUUUUCUUUCUUUUUUUAAAGGAAUUUAAUUUCUAAUUUAAUCGAUUGGCCAAAUAUGUAUAGAGAGGUUAUCAAUGGACUGUAUGAUAACAUAAGUAACAACUCGCCCAUUUAUUAUAUAUUUAUGAUGUGACGAGUUGGUAAUAAUUCAUUAAUGGUAAGCCCAAUGAUUUUGAACAUAGUGACCCUUGUUCCAGUAAAUUUGUGGUUGAGUUUCAAACCUUGGGUAAUUUGGCUUGAAUAUAUUUAAUUGGUAACUUUGAUGUGUAUAAUGUCCAAGAUAAAAGUUUGAGAUGCAAUGUUGUAGUAUUUGGUAACUUUAGGGUGCAAAGUGCCAAAAAAUGUUAAUGAUGCAAAUUAGAAUGACUAAAAACAUUAAGCGUGCAUAAUGAAAUUAGAUUUUUCAGUAAUUCAAGUAUCUUUUGCGUGUGCCCAUAAAUGAUAAGAAAAGAUAAAAAGGUUCUUGAUUCGAUUUUGUAGAUCCAUUAAUUGGUAUCCUGGAAGAUGAAAGCGCUUCCAGUUAUUGUUGUAAUGGAUCCUGGAACGAAGUAAAUGCUUUAGUGGAAGUAUAUCAGGCAUCACAGAUGGCAGUCCAUGAAAAUGAAUCAGCUCUAGAGAAACAAAAUUUAUUAUCGAAGCACCUCCUGAGGCAGCAUAUUUUCAAUGGCUGUGAUUCGAAGGGAUUCCCUAACCAAAUCUUCCAACAGGUAAUUCUCCUUAUAUUUAUAUUACCACAGCCUAUUUGAUGUUCUAGAAAUUUAGGACUAAUAUCACUAUGAUCACUUAAAAGUGCUCUGUUAGUUCUCAUUUUGCAUCCCAAUAUUUUAGUUUGAAAAUUUUGCAUCCUAAAAUUUUAGAUGUAUUUCGGUUUGUCCAAAUUGUCUAUAUUCAAAUGAAAUUGACAAUGAUCAUACGUUACAAUCUUUCCAUUUAUGGCAAUUGUGGCCAAUUGGUCGAAUUAUAGAAGUCCAUUGCAUGUUUCACAUGGAGUGAUAAUAAAGUUUUGUUGAUUCCAUUGCGACUAGUGAAAAUUCGGGAAAAAUGAGCAGUGUCCAAACUUGACGACUCAGAGUAUCUAAAGCAAAAAUUGGAGGUGCAGUGAGAAAAUGUCAUAAGUUUUAGGUUCCAACUAUUAUUUUUUAAUAAAAUUUAGGACUGGCAUCCUACCUGACCCUUACAUGGAGUUUUCCCAAAAAAAAAAUGUCAAAAACUUUAUUGUUGUAUAGUGGAAGCAACCAUUAUGUGAAGACGUCGUAGGCAAAUGCCAGAUUGCAGCUAUCUUCCUCGAACAGAGGGGAGCUCUGAGGAAAAAGGGAGCAACUUAACCCACCUAGUCUUGCCUUUAGAAAGGAGGAAAGAUCGGAUACUGUGGCAGUUUAGAUAGUUAAAUAGGACUGGCAUCCUCUCUGACCCUUACAUGGAGUUUUUCCACAAAAAAAAAAAAGUAAAAAACUUCUUGUUGUAAAGUGGAAGCAACCUAUUAUGUGAAGACCUCGUAGGCGAAUGCCAGAUUGCAGCUAUCUUCCUGAAACUGCCUUUAGAAAGGAAUGCAGGAAAGAUCGGAUACCGUGGCAGUUUAGAUAGUUGAAUAGGAGUGGCAUCCUCCCUGACGCUUACAUGGAGUUUUCCCAAAAAAAAAAAAAGUCAAAAACUUUAUUGUUGUAAAGUGGAAGCAACCUAUUAUGUGAAGACCUCAUAGGCGAAUGCCAAAUUGCAGCUAUAUUCCUCAUAUGGAAAAAAAUCAAAAACUUUAUUGUUGUAAAGUGAAAGCAACCUAUUGUGUGAAGACCUCAUAGGCUAAUGCUAGAUGGCAAUUAUCUUCCUCAAACGGAGGGGGAGCUUAGAGGAAAAAGGGAGCAACUUAAUCCACCCAGUCCUGCCUUUGGAAAGGAAUGCAGGAAAAAUCAGAUACUGCAGCAGUUUAGAUAGUUGAAUAGGCCUGGCAUCCUCCCUGACACUUACACGGAGUUUUUCCAAAAAAAAAAAAAGUCAACUUUAUUGUUGUGAAGUGGAAGCAACUUAUUAUGUGAAGACCUCAUAGGCAAAUGCCAGAUUGCAGCUAUCUUCCUCAAACAGAGGGGGAGGUCAGAGGAAAAAGGGAGCGACUUAACCCACCCAGUCCUGCCUUUUAAAAGGAAUGCAGGAAAGAUCGGAUACUGUGGCAGUUUAGAUGGUUGAAUUCCAAAAAAAAAAAAAAAAAGUCAAACUUUAUUGUUGUGAAGCGGAAGCAACUUAUUAUGUGAAGUCCUCAUAGGCAAAUGCCAGAUUGCAGCUAUCUUCCUCAAACAGAGGGGGAGGUCAGAGGAAAAAGGGAGUGACUUUACCCACCCAGCCCUGCCUUUCAGGAAAGAUCGGAUACUGUGGCAGUUUAGAUAGUUGAAUUCCAAAAAAAAAAAAAGAAGUCAAACUUUAUUGUU
rnacentral:lncRNA from 1 species